GGGGCGCCGGAGGGCCAGGGCAGGGCAGGACAUCACAUCAGAGGGCAGGCCAGGACAUCGUGUGUGUUGAGAUUAAACAGGUUCUUUAUAUAGGCCUGCUAGGGCCCAAGCAAGCUGCUUUAUCUGUCUGUCAUUAAACCGCUCUAAAUGUGUCCAGGCACAGCACUGCCUGCCUGGUUACAUGGCUGCUAUUUCAAAUCAACUCCCAUUGUAUUUUUCACCUGUAAACAACAGGUGUAAACAACAGGUGUAAACAACAGGUGUAAACAACAGGUGUAAACAACAGGUGGAAACAACAGGUGGAGACUAAGUGAAAUGCUUACAGGUCCAUUUCCAACAAGAGAAAAUGGAAAUAGUGACACAAUGAAUAACGAAUAAAGAGUUAAAAUAACAUGGUUAUAUACAGGAAGUACCGGGUAAUAACAUGGUUAUAUACAGGAAGUACCGGGUAAUAACAUGGUUGUGUACAGGAAGUACCGGGUAAUAACAUGGUUGUGUACAGGAAG
rnacentral:lncRNA from 1 species